rnacentral:rRNA from 1 species
UACGUAGGGGGCAAGCGUUGUCCGGAAUCAUUGGGCGUAAAGCGUGUGUAGGCGGGCCCCGUAAGUGUCUUGUGAAAUCCCACGGCUCAACCGUGGAACUGCUGGGCAUACUGCGGGUCUUGGGCCAACUAGGGGCAGCCGGAACAAGCGGUGGAGCGGUGAAAUGCGUAGAUAUCGCUUGGAACGCCGAAGGUGAAAACAGGCUGCUGGGGUUGCGCCGACGGCUGAGACACGAAAGCCAGGGGAGCAAACGGG